rnacentral:rRNA from 1 species
CUCCAAGUGCGCGCACUUAGUGUGUGCUUUUUUCGACUAUUAAUCGGUUGUGGAAUAAGGGCUGGGAAAGACCGGUGCCAGCCGCCGCGGUAAUACCGGCAGCUCAAGUGGUCGUCGCUUUUAUUGGGCCUAAAACGUCCGUAGCCUGUUUGGUAAAUCUGUGGGUAAAUCAACCAGCUUAACUGGUUGAAUUCUGCAGAGACUGCCAGACUAGGGACCGGGAGAGGUGUGGGGUACUCUAGGGGUAGGGGUAAAAUCCUGUCAUCCUUAGAGGACCACCAGUUGCGAAGGCGCCACACUGGAACGGAUCCGACGGUCAGGGACGAAGCCUAGGGGCACGAACCGGAUUAGAUACCCGGGUAGUCCUAGGUGUAAACGCUGUGAACUUGGUGUCGGGAAUCCGUCAUGGGUCCCCGGUGCCGGAGUGAAGAUGUUAAGUUCACUGCCUGGGGAGUACGGUCGCAAGGCUGAAACUUAAAGGAAUUGGCGGGGGAGCACUGCAACGGGAGGAGCGUGCGGUUUAAUUGGAUUCAACGCCGGAAAACUCACCAGGGCCGACUGUUAUAUGAAGACCAGUGUGACGAACUUGUCGGAUUUCAGAGAGGAGUGCAUGGGCCAGGCGAUUCAGCACACUGC